GGACGGGAGCAAAGCUGCUCGUCCCUAGAAGCAGAUAGGGUGAGAGGAAGGAUGGCCAUUUCAAGAAAAUGGGGAAGAUUGAUACAGUGUGUUUUUGUCUUGUUUUGUCUUGGUGUGUUGUAUUGUCUUUGUUAUGGAAAUAUGGGAUCAGAAGUUGGAUGGAACCAAACCGAAAGAGUGUUAAGUAAUUUGCUGAAGGAAGGAGGCACCCCAGUCUAACCAAGAACAGUUAGGGCAUACAUUGAUAAAAGCCCACGAACUCUAGUCAGAAAGAGGAAGAAAGUUCAGAGGAGGAAGGACUAUCAGGGAAGGAGUUGCAACAAAAGGCUACUACUAAAUACUUUUCGUUACCAGAGGGUGAGUGAAGUGGCAUGAUUGCCGCGUGAGCAAGCCAGUCAUAGCGCAGCAGGGACUUUCCAAGCGGGGGCAGCGGCCACCGACCCUUCCCUGCCCCCUGCCCGGGGGUGGGAUGCCAC
rnacentral:lncRNA from 1 species